CACCACCUCGUCUCGCGCAUCUUAUAUGAAUCAUAUGAUGAAGUAUCACAUGAGUGGGUAUAUAGGAAAGGAAUCCAAAUCUGCCGAAUCGCUCAUGUUAUGAUCUUCUACAUCCUAGGUCUCUGUGUUCCAUCAUCUGACUUAUGUUCUUCUUCCUUGCGAGUUUCCUUAGCCCACUUUUCUUCUUCUUUAUCCUAG
rnacentral:rRNA from 1 species